rnacentral:tRNA from 1 species
GGGGGUUUAGCUCAGCUGGCUAGNNAGAGCGCUUGCAUGGCAUGCAAGAGGUCACCGGUUCGAAUCCGGUAUCCUCCA